rnacentral:rRNA from 1 species
UACGUAGGGUGCAAGCGUUGUCCGGAAUUAUUGGGCGUAAAGAGCUCGUAGGCGGUUUGUUGCGUCGGCUGUGAAAUCCCGAGGCUCAACCUCGGGUCUGCAGUCGAUACGAGCAAACUAGAGUGUUGCAGGGGAGACUGGAAUUCCUGGUGUAGCGGUGAAAUGCGCAGAUAUCAGGAGGAACACCGGUGGCGAAGGCGGGUCUCUGGGCCAUUACUGACGCUCAGGAGCGAAAGCGUGGGGAGCGAACAGG